CCAAUAGCGUAUAUUAAAGUUGCUGCAGUUAAAAAGCUCGUAGUUGAAUUUCGGGACCAAUAUGUCGGUCGUGCCUCGGUACGUACUGGCAUCGUUGAUUUCUCCCUUCUGAAGAACCAUGAUGUCAUUUAUUUGGUGUCGUGGGGAAUCAGGACUGUUACUUUGAAAAAAAUUAGAGUGUUUAAAGCAGGCUCACGCUUGAAUACAUUAGCAUGGAAUAAUGCAAUAGGACGUUUGAUUCUAUUUUGUUGGUUUCUAGGAUCGAUGUAAUGAUUAAUAGGGAUAGUUGGGGGCAUUAGUAUUCAAUUGUCAGAGGUGAAAUUCUUGGAUUUAUUGAAGACUAACUACUGCGAAAGCAUUUGCCAAGGAUGUUUUCAUUAAUCAAGAACGAAAGUUAGGGGAUCGAAGACGAUCAGAUACCGUCGUAGUCUUAACCAUAAACUAUGCCGACUAGGGAUCGGAUGAUGUUAAUUUUUUAAUGACUCAUUCGGCGCCUUACG
rnacentral:rRNA from 1 species